rnacentral:rRNA from 1 species
UACAGAGGGUGCGAGCGUUAAUCGGAUUUACUGGGUUUAAAGGGUGCGUAGGUGGGCUUGUAAGUCAGUGGUGAAAUCUCCGGGCUUAACCCGGAAACUGCCAUUGAUACUAUAGGUCUUGAAUUAUCUGGAGGUAAGCGGAAUAUGUCAUGUAGCGGUGAAAUGCUUAGAUAUGACAUAGAACACCAAUUGCGAAGGCAGCUUACUACGGAUAUAUUGACACUGAGGCACGAAAGCGUGGGGAUCAAACAGG